rnacentral:rRNA from 1 species
AUGGCGACGCUCCGAUCCGCCCUCCGGCACCUUGCACCGGCCGCUCGCUUCCUCAGCAAGGGCGGCAGCUCUGGGCCUAGCUUCACCGCCGUCAGGCGGAAGCAUUCCACCGGCGGCGGCGUAUUCUAUAGUACGAUACUGUGGGACGAACCCUUCGAUUUGAGAACGCCGGUGACCUGGUUUGCAAUCAUCGCCACCGCCAUAGGAGCUACUUACAGGAUAAAAGUGCAGACGACUGAUCAUGAAAAGCAGAAGGCAUGUGGACACGAGGAGGGGAAGAAAAGUGUUAGCAUCUGA